rnacentral:misc_RNA from 1 species
GAUGAAGAACGUAGCGAAAUGCGAUACUUGGUGUGAAUUGCAGAAUCCCGUGAACCAUCGAGUCUUUGAACGCAAGUUGCGCCCGAAGCCAUUAGGCCGAGGGCACGCCUGCCUGGGCGUCACACGUCGUUGCCCCCCCAUCUACUCCUUCGGGAUUGCGGGGGGCGGAUGAUGGCCUCCCGUGCGCCUCGUCGCGCGGUUGGCAUAAAUGCCAAGUCCUCGGCGACGCACGCCACGACAAUCGGGGGUUGCGAAACCUCGGUUGCCCGUCGUGUGCGGUCGUCGCGCAUCGAGGGCUCGAAAAAAUUGCCGGGCUCCGGCUCGGCUUUCAACGCGACCCCAGGUCAGGCGGGGUUACCCGCUGAAUUUAAGCAUAUCAAUAAGCGGAGGA